CCUUAUACAUGCAAGUCGAGCGGACAGAUGGGAGCUUGCUCCCUGAUGUUAGCGGCGGACGGGUGAGUAACACGUGGGUAACCUGCCUGUAAGACUGGGAUAACUCCGGGAAACCGGGGCUAAUACCGGAUGCUUGAUUGAACCGCAUGGUUCAAUUAUAAAAGGUGGCUUUUAGCUACCACUUACAGAUGGACCCGCGGCGCAUUAGCUAGUUGGUGAGGUAACGGCUCACCAAGGCAACGAUGCGUAGCCGACCUGAGAGGGUGAUCGGCCACACUGGGACUGAGACACGGCCCAGACUCCUACGGGAGGCAGCAGUAGGGAAUCUUCCGCAAUGGACGAAAGUCUGACGGAGCAACGCCGCGUGAGUGAUGAAGGUUUUCGGAUCGUAAAACUCUGUUGUUAGGGAAGAACAAGUACCGUUCGAAUAGGGCGGUACCUUGACGGUACCUAACCAGAAAGCCACGGCUAACUACGUGCCAGCAGCCGCGGUAAUACGUAGGUGGCAAGCGUUGUCCGGAAUUAUUGGGCGUAAAGCGCGCGCAGGCGGUUUCUUAAGUCUGAUGUGAAAGCCCCCGGCUCAACCGGGGAGGGUCAUUGGAAACUGGGGAACUUGAGUGCAGAAGAGGAGAGUGGAAUUCCACGUGUAGCGGUGAAAUGCGUAGAGAUGUGGAGGAACACCAGUGGCGAAGGCGACUCUCUGGUCUGUAACUGACGCUGAGGCGCGAAAGCGUGGGGAGCGAACAGGAUUAGAUACCCUGGUAGUCCACGCCGUAAACGAUGAGUGCUAAGUGUUAGAGGGUUUCCGCCC
rnacentral:rRNA from 1 species